GCGGGAGGACAGAGUAUGCACCUGCUGUGUGCGGGCGGCGUGGAGGGACCUGCCCACGGCGCGCCUGAACCCCGGACCAAUGGGAGCGCCUGGGGGGCGGGGAGGGGUUCCAGCCAGGCAGGGGGCUCCCAGCCCCGCAACGGCUCGGAAACGGGAGCGGGGAUGGGCGGGAGGGGGAUGGGGGCGAGCACUGCCCCCGAAAAGGAGGAGCCCAGAGCGGCCUGGGGACCGCCCCCGGGCUUUGGCAGCCGCGUGGGGAGGAGGGAGGUGACCCCGGUCAGCUCAGGCCUCCCUCUCCUGGAGAAGUGGGGGGGGCUCCCCUCCCCUCCUGCAGGACCCCGGGGGCUCCCCCUCCCCUCCUGCAGGACCCCGGGGGCUCCCCCUCCCCUCCUGCAGGACCCCGGGGGCUCCCCCUCCCCUCCUGCAGGACCCCGGGGGCUCCCCCUCCCCUCCUGCAGGACCCCGGGGGCUCCCCCUCCCCUCCUGCAGGACCCCGGGGGCUCCCCCUCCCCUCCUGCAGGACCCCGGGGGCUCCCCCUCCCCUCCUGCAGGGCCCCGGGGGCUCCCCCUCCCCUCCUGCAGGACCCCGGGGGCUCCCCCUCCCCUCCUGCAGGACCCCGGGGGCUCCCCUUCCCCUCCUGCACAAAGGCAGGCUCUCUGAGAGGUCCCAAGGCUUCCUUCUGCACCCAGCACCCCAUUUUCACCCUCUGAUUGCUUUGGGGCGCCAGGUAUGAGGCUUCAGCCCAGCCCAGCUUGCUGGCUCGUAUUGGGAGCCCAGGGCCUCUUCCAGCUGGGACCUCUGACCCCCAACGGGGUUUUCCAGUGGCUCCUCGGGAGGCGCCAUCUCCCCCCCUCCCUUGGGCGGCCCCAGUGGGGCGAGGUCCGGCUGCUUCGGCCCCGUCCCUGGCUCUAACUUUGGCCGAGGGUCCGUAGGUUUUCCAGCCCGAGGAACCGGAGCCAUCUGAGGGUCCACCCAUUCCGGGGCCGUCCCGGGGUGGGGGAGGGUCUGGGGAAGAGCGGAGUGUGGGGGGCAGUGGCCAGGCUGGGGGAGAGGCCGUGGCUGUGAGGGAAGGGUCCUGGGAUGUGUUAGGGCGGCACUCGGGAGGCUAUGGCAGGUGGGGGGGGGGGCGGCUGUGACAGGCGCCGUCACCGGGCUCUGGGUCGGUCACAGCGGGGGCUUUCCCAAGUCAUGGCUGUCAGCAGCCAGCGGGAAGCUUUGUGAAGGGCUCCACGGAUCUCAUCUCAUUUGAUUCUCACAGCAGCCUUAAAGGGAGGCGCUGGGGAAACUGAGGCACAGGAUUGAAGGGAUUUGUCCAGAGGCGCACAGAGAGCUAGGAAGUGACCAAGGUAGGUUCCAGCAUGAGUCUUCCAGGUCCGUCAGUCUAUCCACCAGCCGAGACCCAGAACCCAUCACUUUCCCAGCACAAGCUGUUGUGGUUCUGUUCUCACCAAGGGCUUUCACCACUUCCCCUUUUAACCCCUCCCUAAUUAGUCCGAGGGUUUCCCAGUUACAAGGAAACUCGGUGACCUUAGCCGAACUCAUCCCGGAAAAGGAAUACUCUUGUCUUGACAAGCCAGGACCCUGAACCCAGAGCCCAGGAGAUGGCAGAGCCCCCUCCCCAACUGAAAAAGGGCCCGUCGGGCCCAGCCCCUGAGGCAGGCCGAAGGGAAGAGUCCUCGUGGAGAAGCACCUAUCUUCUUCCUGCUCACCACCAACUGCCACCAACUGUCAGAAAGCUGGCUGACGCCACCCUGCCCGGGAUGGCAGAAGACCAGGCGGCCCCCGAGCCCAUGGCUCAGCACUGCAACAGCAACACCUACCGGAGUGCCCAGCAUUCCCAGUCCCUGCUCAGUGGGCUCUUGGCCCUUCGGGACAGCGGCAUUCUUUUUGAUGUCGUCUUGGUGGUGGAAGGCAAACAAAUAGAAGCCCAUCGGAUCCUCCUGGCCGCUUCCUGUGACUACUUCCGAUUCCGUGACCCCGGAGGAGCGAGGGAGGCCGGCGAAUCUGCGCAGCUCCAGGGGGGGCCGGGGCAGCCCCGACCUGCCCCCUGCCCCUCCCCCCGUGGCAGCCAGAUCUAGCACCUGCCAUCUGACAGCCUUGGCUCGGGUCCUCCCCGCCUCCUCCUGAUGACUUGGCAGUGCCCUCUUGGAUCUUCUGCCCCGAGUCUCUCCGUCGGCAGCGCUGCCAGAGGGUUUGACCAAACAUAGAGCCGACUCCGACUCCGCCUCUCUGAAGCCGGCCUCCCGUCCGAGUGUGCCUGUCUCUGGUCCUGCCAUCCCGGCCUCUCAGCACCCCACUGCCAUCUCCAGUGGCGCCCCCUGGGCCUGUGCUGCCCUCCCUGAACUUGGAGGGAUGGAUCUGGGUUUUACACGGACUCAUGUCUUCCAGUGCUUCCUUUGGGGCAGUGACUGUUCCCAUCCUGCACUUCGAAGCGCGUGCCUGGCGGGCGGGAGCCACGGCGUCCACACUUCCCUGCAGUCUGAUGGAGCAGAUGCUCAGUUUACAGAUAAAUUCUCACUGCUGAUUGUUUUUACCUCCUGGCCCGGAGAGAAUAGAACACAGAACAGAGAGGAGACCAAAAUGAAGGGGCCGCCCGAAGUCCGGCCAGUCAGCCCCUCUCUGGGCCCAGACACCGAGGCGCAAAGGAGCCAGAGGCAGUGCCCACGGGGAGCUCCCGUUCUCAGGGCGCACCUUUAAAGAUCUGGCAGGGCUUCCUGGAGGAGGGGGUGCCUGGCUGAGCCCCAAAAGAAGUGUGGGUCCUGAGGGAAUGCAUUCUGGGCCCGGAGGAGAGCCUAUGGCACAUGGACGGGCGGAGGUUUGGCAGGACCCUAGAUUAGGCCCCAUGGAGAGAGCCAGUGAGGCAUAAGGGGCAAAAGUUGGAGGGUCACCUGGUGGUGGCAGGGAGCCCCUCCAGGUUCUUGAGCAGGGCAGCGACCCCCUCAGAGGACUUGCUAGCUGUGCUUGCUGGCUGUGUGUACGGCUGAGCUAGACACCUGAAUGCUCCCCUUCUGGAGGCCAGUGCUAACAGCUCCCCGCUAGCGCCUCCCCCCCAGGCUGUCGUCAGGGCCAUACAGGGAGAGCCCACCCCUUCUGUGUGCCAGUGGGACCCUGGCUGCUUAGGAGAGCCUCUACUGGGAGAGAGCCAGGGAGGCCGGGAGGGGAGGCCUGCCUCCAGUGUGUGAACCAGGGAGGGAUUUCUGGAGCCUUUAGCUCAGCCUCGGUGUCUGGGACAGAGGCUGGGGAUCUGGACCCCGGCGUCAGGGAGAAUUACUGCAGAGGAAAGCGGGUGACUUGGUCACCAUGACACGGUAGUGAGGAUGGCGGCGGGGUGGGUGUCGGCGUGCUCAUCCCGCUCCCCGGGCUUGUUCCUGCCUCGGCCCGUGCCUGCGCUCGCUUGCCUGUAUUCAGACUUUCUGCGAGUCCCCGGGACCCCCAAAGUGGACAGUGUCUGAACGCCCUCCCCUGGGGCUGGUGCGGGGAAAAGACGAGGGUUCAGAUCCAGAUUGAGAUUUGUCCUGGCUCUGCAGCCUCUGGCACCAGACUUGGCCUCUCUUUGCCACCGUUUCCUCCUCCAGCGAGAUGGUCUCUGGGGAGUCUUGAGUUCAGUGCCUGUAGUUGGUGCUUCCUAAGCUCUGUUAAGGGCCUGUGGGGCAGAGUGGGGGUGGGUGUGGGUAUCUCCAAUGCCGGCUGGAGAGAGCCAUGGGGAAGCCGGAGUGCCCGAGGGAGUGGGGGCCUCUUGUCCCUGGGUUCCAGCCUCGUCUUUUGGGUCUUCACUA
ensembl:lncRNA